UUAUAAAUCGAAACUUUCCUCAAUUAAUUAGUUCCGUAUUACACAUUAUACAGUCACAGUCAUGUGAAUAUUCAUCAACUUCCUGAUUAAUCAGAUGGAGAUGAAAAAUAGUCCACAUUCAAACUCUCGUGUUUCAUGGCGACUUCCUCUCAAAGCUGUUGUGUUUGUGACCUCCGACUGAUCACCAAGCCGUGCGUUGUUUGGUGUACAGAAUGCGAUGAAGGCCUAUGUAAGGAAUGUCAUGAACAUCAUAGUUUGUCCAAGGCGUCGAGGAGCCAUAGUGUGAUACCAUUUACCGAUUACCAAAAAUUACCAAGCGAUGUACUGAAGAUCACUCAAUACUGUAGCGAACACAAUAAAAAGUUUGAAAUGUUUUGCCAGAAACACGAACGACCUUGCUGCAGCAAAUGUAUAGUAGAUUCACAUAAAAAAUGUCGGGAUAUCGUCGACUUA